GAUGAACGCUGGCGGCGUGCCUAACACAUGCAAGUCGAGCGCCCCGAUGGCAACAUCGGGGAGCGGCGAACGGGUGAAUAACACGUAAGCAACCUACCCUUAAGACCGGCACAACCCCGCGAAAGCGGGGCUAAUUUCGGAUGUGGUCAUCCCGACGUAUGUCGGGAUGAUUAAACCCAGCAAUGGGCUUAAGGAUGGGCUUGCGUCCUAACAGCUAGUUGGCGAGGUAAUGGCUCACCAAGGCGAUGACGGGCAGCUGGUCUGAGAGGACGAACAGCCACAGAGGAACUGAGACACGGUACCUACUCCUACGGGAGGCAGCAGUGAGGAAUUUUCCGCAAUGGGCGAAAGCCUGAUGCAGCGACGCCGCGUGGGGGAUGACGGCCUUCGGGUUGUAAACCUCUUUCAGUAGGGACGAAGCGCAAGUGACGGUACCUACAGAAGAAGCACCGGCCAACUACGUGCCAGCAGCCGCAGUAAGAC
rnacentral:rRNA from 1 species